CAACCGCCUGAGCCGGAGCCGCCGGAUGAGGACCGCUCUGCAGGGAAGGGCGCGACCUUCGGAGACGCAGCUGGACCGCCCGACUGGACUGCGCAGGGUCGCCCCGGAGCGUGGAGCAGCCGGCGGGGGCCGCGGGCUGGCGGCGUGACUCAGGGUGCGCUCCAAAUACGCAGCCCCGGGGCGGGGCGGGGCGGGGCGCCCUGCCUGGUUUAGGCGCGGAUGGCCCAGGGCAGGCGAGGAGCCGGGCCUCAGCUCCGCAGGUACAGAAGAAAGGCCCGCCCGGAAGAGGCCUCUGCGCAGCUUGUGAGCAGCCGCAUCUUCCAGGUCUGGCUGGCUGUGUGCCCACUGAUGUCAUGUGGAGAAUGUUCUUAAGCUGCUCCAGGGGUCUCCGGAAUGCUGCCCAGCACUGCGCUCCAUCUCACAGGUCCCAGCACAAGGUGUGGGGUGUCUGCCACGGUCUCAUUGCUCCUAAGCCCCCUGGUAGAGAGUUAGGAGAUACAGAGACGCGUGCAUAUGGUGUGCUUCCAGCUCCUCCUUAA
rnacentral:lncRNA from 1 species